rnacentral:rRNA from 1 species
CCUACGGGGAGCAGCAGUGGGGAAUAUUGCACAAUGGGCGAAAGCCUGAUGCAGCAACGCCGCGUGAAGGAAGAAGGGUUUCGGCUCGUAAACUUCUAUCAACAGGGACGAAAGAAAUGACGGUACCUGAAUAAGAAGCCCCGGCUAACUACGUGCCAGCAGCCGCGGUAAUACGUAGGGGGCAAGCGUUAUCCGGAAUUACUGGGUGUAAAGGGUGAGUAGGCGGCAUGGUAAGCCAGCGGUGAAAUGCCCCCGCUCAACGGGGUGAAGUGCCAUUGAUACUGCCUUGCUGGAAUGCGGAUGCCGUGGGAGGAAUGUGUGGUGUAGCGGUGAAAUGCAUAGAUAUCACACAGAACACCGAUUGCGAAGGCAUCUCACGAAUCCGCGAUUGACGCUGAUGCACGAAAGCGUGGGUAUCAAACAGGAUUAGAUACCCCGGUAGUC